rnacentral:lncRNA from 1 species
AAUAAACAAGGAAAAAUUAUCUUCUUCAUCGACCUCCAACCCCCACGCUACACUUACCGCCAUCGACCACCUCCACCACAGCCAUCGAUCAUCUCCAAGCUCGUUCUUCACAGCCCUUCUCGAAUCUGGUAAUGGGAAUGGGAAUUGCUCAAAUCUUGUAUGGCAAAGCAGUUCUCCUGUUGGAUUUUUCUCUGGUAUGAAUAUUUUUUUUUUUUGUUUUCUAGCAAAUUUGCUAUAUUUAUUUCAGCCUGGAUUUACUUGUUUUAAUUAUUUACUUAAGCUUGGAAAAUAUCAUAGAUCCUUGUUUCUUCAUGGUUGACCUUGAGCCUAUUUUUGGAUCUGGGAAGAGUUAAAGAAAGUGGAAAACAAAAAUGACUGAAUGCUGUUCCAGAUUAAUCGAUCUUCCAUAAUAAUUCUGGUUAUCUUAUAAUUAGGGAGAAGGAAUAUGAACAGUGCAAUAUUUUUGGUGAAGAAUAUAUUUUAUGUGAAAGGAAGAGAUUUCUAGGACAUGGAGGAUUCUAAUUUUUUAAUUUGGUUAUGUUCAUGGCGAUUUGGUCCAUGGCGAUGGUGGCGGUGGUCGAUGGAGAUGGCAGCGUCGGCAAAUUUCUAGUUUUGGGAUUGAGGGGGUCGAUGAAGAAGAGUCUUUUCUUUUUUCUUUUUAUUCUUUUUUGUUUUUGAUUUAAUUUUUUAAUUAUUUUAUGGAAAAAUAUUAAAUUACAAUUUUGCUCUUUUAAAAAUUGAUUAAAAUGUGGUUAGAAUUAAUUUUCGGGCCAACUGAUGACAAAUUGGAUGGAAACUGCCUAUUGGGGCUUCUGUUGUUAUGAUUUGAAAUGUUUGGAGUGAUGACUGCAACGAUUGAAUGGUUAGAAAAAUGUCUGGCAUUAUUUGAAAGGUUUGGGAUCUCAGUUGCAAUUAUCCCUUAUUUUUAUGAAUUCUAUUUUUAGCUGUUGGAGGACUCCAAGUUUGCUUCUCCGCUUUUGUCUGUUUAUUAAAAAGUUGUUUGGGGAAUAAUAAAAUUCCCAAUUGUUGGAAUCUUUAUAAACGAAGAAAUGAUAGAAUAGGGUUCAUGGGCAGAGAGGAGAAUCUUGAUUCGUUCAAAGUAAUUAAAAAAAAAAAAAAUUGUCCUGCUUAUAAUUUCAAAAUUUUUCCUUACUUUUUACGCACAUUUCCCUAAAAAUCAAUAUUCAUUUUUUUUUAUUUUUUUGAAAAGUAUGGUUUUCAAAGGUUAAUUCCUUUUGGGUUAAUCCAUUGACUCUACUCUCUAUGUCUAAUAUCUUUUUAUGUUAUUGUUUGUCUAUGUCCAGUUCAAUGAGCUAUAUUGAAUUGUGACCCUUGAUGGUAGAUCUCGAGAUGCUAUAAGAUAUUCUACAUUUUACAUUGCAUCUUCUUAAAAGAGAGGGGGAAAAAAAACCCUUUUGGAAAGAUGGAAGUUACUUUUUGACGCCAAAGCAUUGUAUAAUGCUAUAUAAUUGAUAUUCAACACCAAUUUAGAUGAUAUUGAAUUCUACAUUCUAAGGGGAAAAAAAAAUUUGUCAAGGUUUUCGGGGAAUCUAAUUUUUUAACUUUUAAGGGUCGUUACGAAUGUUUUGAGUGAAUCCAAAAUAGGCACGCAAUUUUUUUAAAAGAAUAUUAAGAGUAGAAUCUAACCUAAAUCAUAAUCGACUUAAAUCCUAUAGAAAUAAUCACGAUUGGACAACUUUUUGGGGGUAUAAAUGUCAAAAUGUUUAAAAUUAAGGGGGAACCACGUUUUUCUUAACUGGCUAUUAAUCCCACUUUAAUAAUUUAAUUUGCUGUCAUGUUUCUCCAAAUUGAUUGAAAAACUGUCCUUUUCACGGACAAAAUAAUGGAGAAAGAAUCUUGAAGACAAGAUAUUGAAUGAACCCACAUUGAUAGGCCAUUAUAAAGAUGACAAAAAAAUAAAUAAUAAUAAUAAUAGUAGUAGUAGUAAAAAUAAAUAAAGUGAAAAGACGGAGCCAAUCAAUUAUUUUUAGGGUUUUCUAAUGGCAACAUACAUGGUAUCAUAGAAAAUUAUAUUAUUUGGACAACCUAUUACACUACAAAACAUUGGCUGUUUCCUAAUCCUACUUGCAUAUUCCUACAAGAUGUUUGCCUACUUUAGGGCUUGUUUGAGCCACAUUAUUUUUUUAAAAAAAAUAUUCUCUAACAGUGAUUGGACAUUAUUUCAACGACACAUUCUUCAAUAAAAUAAUAUUACACACAAAUUUAAAAUUUUUCUUUAUUUUUUAAUCACACAUUUCCCAUUGAUUUGACAUGAAUAAUGCAUUUUUUUCUUAAAACACGGCUCAAACACGGGCUUAGUAAAUAAUAUUUGAUCUUAGAUUUUUGCUUGUGCAAAAAACGCAAUAUUACUAUUAGUAUUUAAUAUAUGUACAUUAUUUGUUCAUGUUAGGGCUCUAAUUCAAUAGUGACUUUAAGUUGUUUAAUGCUAGUAUCAAUUAUUUAAUGGUGAUCGCAGGGGUGAGUACUUUAUAUUUUGAGAGUACUAGAAAUUUUUAUGUUAUAUGCAAAUAGUUUUUUAAUGAACUAGCUACAUAUGCUUAAUUUUCUUUAUCAAUCUAGAAUCUUCAAACAACAAAUUACAGAUAGUGGUAUCGAAAUAAGUUAGAUUGCCAAGGUCCAUCACAUUAAAUCGGAUCGAAACGAGUUAGCUUGUUUCAGACUUGUUAAUGGAUUAGCCAUCUUUAUCACCAUGGUGGUUAUGUUUGUUUAAUAUCACGAGUGAAACUGCUUUUUGAGAACUAAAUUUUUUGGCUUUCAUUCUUGGUGUUCGCAUAAAUUUCCCAUAGCUCCCCAUUUUCUCCGUGUUCGUAAAAAGAGCAUAUGCAAUGAUCUUUUUCUUCGGUUAUAGCUAUUUGUGAACAAAGAAGUUGUAUUUGUGUUUUGUGAUGAUUAAACUUGGGUGUUGUACUCUGUAUUUUUAGAGGAAUACAUUUUCUGUGUUCUCAAAAAGAGAUAUGCAUAUGCUCUUUUUCUAGUGUUAUGACUAUGUGUGAGCAAUGUAGUUUUUACAUUCCUUAUCUCCAUUCCUUAGCAAUUAGAUAAUAGAGCCAUUUUUUAUGUUAUUCCCUUCAAAAUUAUAGUAGACUAGUGAAGUAAAUGUUCAAUGUUGGAAAAAGGGGAUAGCAUGAUGUACUUUGGUCAUGGUUGGGCAUGCUACUUCCCCUAUUAAGCAGUUUGACAUGAAAAUAUAAAGCUCUUGUUGUCACUUUUUUAAGAUUUUGUCAACUUUUUGGAAUAUUAGCCACUUUUCGAGUUUUCGUCACUUUUCUCUAUAGAUGAUGUAUGACUAAGAGUUUUAGAGGGACGGUUGGAACAACCAUGAUUUAAGUUCUUGAAAUUUUGAAGUUCAUGCAAUAAAAGGCUCAACUAUGUCUUCUCCAAUGCAAGAACUUAUGGAAUUAUGAUUGUGGUCUAAAUGAUUUUGUCUUUUUAAAGCUUUUUUGUCACUUCUUUAAAUUUUUGUCUUCCAAAUCCAACUUAAUAUGUUAGUUAAUAGAAGGAAAAUAUAUAAAAAUGAAAAUCAACCAUCCAUCGGAUCUAUUCUAAUGUUUUGAUUUAUAUGUCAUUUUUUUGAGUAUUCACUUUUUUUAGUGUUUGAUACUCUUUUGAAUUUUUGCCAUUUUAUUGAAUUACUUCCACAUUUAAUACCACAGGAAGAGAGAUGGACAGAGAUGAUGAGGAUUAUGAUACAGACAAUAAUUGAGUGUUAAAUGAAGGCAUAUGUGAUAUGCUGAUGGAGGUAGAGAUAAAGAAGUAUUUGAUGAAGCAAAGAUAACCUGUAAAUUGCAUUGAAAAUAUUCAAUGAUAGAUGAUUUGUAUAGGAUUAACAAGCUUUGAUGAAGAGUUAUGGUGUUUAUACUUUUUUUUUUAUUUGCACGUUGUGACACUUUCAUUAAUAGUGAUAUAGCAUAUUGUGCCACUUUUUUAUUAAAAAA